rnacentral:rRNA from 1 species
UACAGAGGUCCCAAGCGUUGUUCGGAUUCAUUGGGCGUAAAGGGUGCGUAGGUGGCGUCGUAAGUCGGGUGUGAAAUCUCGGGGCUUAACUCCGAAACUGCAUUCGAUACUGCGGUGCUUGAGGACUGGAGAGGAGACUGGAAUUUACGGUGUAGCAGUGAAAUGCGUAGAGAUCGUAAGGAAGACCAGUGGCGAAGGCGGGUCUCUGGACAGUUCCUGACACUGAGGCACGAAGGCCAGGGAGCAAACGGG